UGCCCCCCCCCUCCCCGCGGUGCAUGGGGCGGAGCGGCCCGGCCGAGCGCUCCGUGCAGCGGGAUGCAGCGGGCCGAGGCCCGGCCACGUCAGCACCCCGAAGGGGCUGCCCUGGGGGGCGGAAGCGGCGGGGACCGGGCAGCUGUAGCAGCCGCGGGAGCCAUGGACCCCACGAGGCUGCUGUUUCAGGAGCCUUCCCUCUACACAGUCAAGGCCAUAUUCAUCUUGGACAAUGAUGGACAGCGACUCUUAGCCAAGUACUACGACGACACCUUUCCAUCCACGAAAGAACAGAAGACCUUUGAGAGGAGUGUUUUCGAUAAAACCCACAAAACUGACAGUGAGAUCGCCUUUCUGGAGGGGCUGACCAUUGUCUAUAAAAGCAGCAUCGACCUCUUUUUCUACGUGGUGGGGAGUUCCCAGGAAAAUGAGCUGAUGCUAGUGGCAGUUCUCACCUGUCUCUUCGACUCCCUCAGUCACAUGUUACGGAAGAAUGUAGAGAAGCGCUCCCUGCUGGACAACCUGGACGGGGUGUUCCUCGUGGUGGAUGAGAUCGUCGACGGGGGGGUGAUUCUGGAGAGCGAUCCUCAGCAAGUGAUCCAGAAGGUGAACUUCAGGACGGUCUCGGAGCCUGCAGCAUACGGGUUUGUUCUCUUUGAUUACAUCGCCAGUAACUCAGAGCAAAGUGAAUCCGUGCCUGCCAGCGGCGGCAAAUAGGCAGCGGCCAGCUGGGAAGCAGGUGGACGAUAGCCCUCUGUCUGAGCAAAGCGUUGCCCAGGUUCUGCAAUCUGCCAAAGAGCAAAUUAAAUGGUCCUUAUUAAAGUGAACGUCCCAGAGGAGAGCGCCUGGAUCCUCCCGAUUGGAUGGGUCUGAACUGUGAUGGCAAAUGAUUCCUCGCCUUAUUCGAUUAGCCGUUUGCAAAUUGGCAUGAAAAGUCUGAUAAAAGCUUUUGGGUAGGAUGCAAGAUGGCUGACAUUGGCCGCGCCUCCUGGGGGAACGCCAGCCUUCCACGGACACGGGUUUUAACCCGGUCUCGGUACCAUGAAAUUCUCUGCAUGCUAAAGGGGAGGGUGGGUUAUUAACUGGUUAACAGACCAAAUUCUGCUCACUAUAAAUGAAGAGUGACGUCGAUGGGGUUAUUUCAGAUUGACAAUGGUGUAACAGAGAGCAGAACCUGGCCCAAGAUCCAUAAAGAACUCCAGAACUAUUACUGUUAUUUAAGGACUGAAUAGGCGGAUUGAUCAUAUGUAGUUACACCAACUAAAGCGCUGCGUGAGACUCAAUUAGAAUUUUGUUUGGUACUAGCCGAGCCAGAACAUACCCUAGUUGAAUCUUCAGUUUCACCAGUAAAGAGCUUGGCUCCUUCUUUUGCAGGGCUGUCACUAGUGCCGGCACACUUGUUGAUCAACGCAAUGCCUGAGACUUUCAAAACCAUAGGAAGGGAUUUGCAUGCCCUUUUCUCAUUCAAACAAAUGGGGCUUGGGCAUCCAGGUCGCCCUAGGCUCUUUAGAAUAUUUCAGUCACUUCCAAAAUCUCUUCCGCUGUCUCCCAAGGCAACCUUUGGUCCCUUUUGAGGAUGGCCAUGCCUGUGCAGAGGGUCGGCGUGAAGUAAGUGCCACUGUCACAUCCUCCCACCUGCAGGGUGGGGAUGAGUGCACAGGAAUCAUUGUCACCCUGUCAGAGUAAGAUUCAAAACUUCCCAAUGAUGACCACUAAUAACCCCCCCAAACUCUUACAAGGUGUUUUUCAUCGGUAGAUCUCAAAGCACUUUACAAAGGAGAUCAGGUCAUUAUACAGAUGGGGAAACUGAGGCACAGAGCGGGGGGAGUGACUUCCCCAAGGUCAUCUAGUUGGCCAGUGGCAGAGCUAGGAAUAGAACCCAGGUCUCCCGAGUCCCAAUCCAGCAUUCCAGCCACUAGGCAGCACUGCCUCCCUCAUGCAGCUUUGGCGGUCGUUAAUUUUGUAAAAACAAUCCUGCUGCAAAUAGCUGUCGGCUCAAACAUCACUAAAGGACCCGGCUAUGGUAAAAAUCCUAUUUUCAGAAUGAUCAUGUCCUUCCCUUUAACACCCCAGAUUAUCAAUAGCAAGAAAAAAAAAUAAAAAUUGAAUGAAGGAGAAUUGGCUAGCUGUGUGAUACUUACUUCAGCGAGGGCUUGGUACAUUUCAAUCCAUUUCUGUAAACUGGGCAUGCCCAGCGUCUUUUAUGAUCAACAAAUAAAGUUUUAUAGCACAUGGA